UUAAGAAUCUUGCACAAUGGGCACAAGCCUGAUGCAGCGACGCCGCGUGGAUGAUGAAGGCCUUCGGGUUGUAAAGUCCGGUAAGCAGGGAAGAAUAAGCAACGGGAAAUAUUCGUUGUGAUGACGGUACCUGCCUAAAGCCCCGGCUAACUACGUGCCAGCAGCCGCGGUAAUACGUAUGGGGCGAGCGUUGUUCGGAAUUAUUGGGCGUAAAGGGCGUCUAGGCGGGGGAUUAAGUUAGAUGUGAAAGCUAUGGGCUCAACCCAUAAAUUGCAUCUAAGACUGGUUCUCUUGAGUUCGGGAGAGGAGAGCGGAAUUCCAGGUGUAGCGGGGAAAUGCGUAGAUAUCUGGAAGAACACCAGUGGCGAAGGCGGCUCUCUGGCCUAGGACGGACGCUGAAGCGCGAAAGCGUGGGGAGCGAACA
rnacentral:rRNA from 1 species